GGGCACAUAGCGUAGGGGUUAUCGCGUUCGCUUUGCACUUUCUGGGCAUGCGAAAGGUCCCCGGUUCAAUUCCGGGUGUGUCCA